rnacentral:misc_RNA from 1 species
GAUGCAUUUUAAUGCUUUGAUGGACACUUAAAUUCGACGAUAUUUGUCUGCUAUACGUUCGUCUAAUGUUGACGGAGAAAUGCUUCAUUAUUUCCUGACAAGUUUUUGCAUUUUGCAUUUGACGGUUGCUUUAGCCUUGGAUUGUUACAACAGGACCGACUGCCAAUGUUGUAUUGAUAGAGAAUGUGGGCGACAUCCGUCUUUUAGCUGGAUACAGUACCAUUGUCGCAAAGGAUGCAUUGAUGGUUAUAGGGGCGUCCAGUGCUAUACAAAAUGUCCAGAAAACUGUAAAGCUUGUAUACAAGACGCGUCAGCAAAAUGUACUAAAUGCAUUGAUGGUUACUUUCUUAGAACGGAAAAAGACUGUAAAGGGAAAUGUCCUUCCAACUGUGAAGCUUGCGAUUCACCAUCGCAUUGUACUAAAUGUAAAGAAGGUUAUUACAGCAAUGGCACCAACAAUGACUGCCGAUAUACUUACUGUCCGGCUAACUGUAUGUGGGAGGAAAGAACGUGUACUAUAUGUAGAAAUGGCUUUUAUAACACAAGUGUAUUAUGUGAAAGUACCUGUCCUCAAAACUGUGCUUCUUGCAUUUCCAGUGAAAUAUGCACAGAAUGUCAAGAUGGACAUUAUAGCGGAUUUAAAUUUGAUAGUCAAGACAAUGGUAAAUCGGAAACAUGUGGUCAUAACUGCAGACCGUCUUGCAAACGUUGCAUAUCAUAUGACGAAUGUACACAAUGUGAUGAGGGUAGCUAUGGACUAACUUGUGAAAAGAAUUGCUCAGUAGGAUGUGAUAAAAUUAAUUGUUCUCACGCUACUGGAGAAUGUGAUUGCCGCGAGUCUUUUAUCGGCACUGACUGCACGAAUUGCACAGCGGGUAAAUAUGGAUUGUUUUGCAAUAUGUCGUGUCCGUCGACUUGCAUGGAUGGUUUAUGUGACAAGAAUUCUGGAGAUUGUAUAUUUGGGUGUGUAAAUAAUAAUUUCACUGGAAAUAGAUGUUCCGAAUGUAUAACUGGUAUAUUCGGUAACAUGUGUGAUGAAGCAUGUUCUGAUAACUGCAAGAAUAUUACCUGCGAACGGGACAGCGGGAAAUGUUUAGAUGGAUGUAGAGGCAAUUUUAAUGGUUCGUUUUGUAAAGAUUGCGUGUCAGGUAUGUUCGGAUCGGAAUGUAAAUUAGACUGUCCCAAAAGAUGCCUUUAUGGAAUAUGUCAGAAGGAUUCUGGACACUGUAUAACUUGUGACGGAGAUUUUGCUGGGGCUAAGUGUAAUAGAUGCAUACCUGGAUUUUAUGGUAGCAACUGUAAAGCACAAUGUUCUCAACACUGCUUUAAUAGUUCAUGUGACCAGAUCACAGGAAUUUGUAAUAGAGGCUGUAAAGGCAACUUUUCAGGAGAUAAAUGUUGCGUAGAAAAUGGCUAUUGUUCAAAAUGCGACACAAAUAAUAAAUGUAAAGAAUGCGAGGCUGGUCACUUUGGACGGUCGUGUGAGAAGAAAUGUUCUACUGGUUGCGCAAAUACUUGUAAGAUCAGUUCAGGCGUUUGUAAUUUAUGUGAAAAGGAUUUCUUUGGUCCUUUCUGCAAUUCGAAAUGUUCUGAUACUUGCAAUAAAACAACAGAUGUUAACAUCUGUGAUCAGAUUUCCGGAAGGUGCAUUGCUGGGUGUAAUACUGGCACAUUCGGUGAUACAUGUAACAAGAGCUGUAGUGAAUAUUGCGUAAACAAUCAGUGCGAACGAGAAGGUGGAUUCUGUCUUCAUGGCUGCACUGGUGGCUACGAUACUUCAGUUUGUUCUACACACUUAGAAGUCGUAAAGAUACAGAUAAAUCUUUCAAACAUGCGGCCUCGUCUACAAAUAUUGAACACAGCAGGAGGGACGAACAUAUGUCUACUGAGCCACAGACUGUUUACUACAAUGCCAUGGAAGAAAUCAACGACUCCUGCAGUGCGGACAAUUCAAAUGCAAGUGAAUAUGAGAAAAUAGAAUCAAUUCAAGUUCCAGAACACGAAUACGGACAUAUUUCGUCUGCUGUUUGAACUUCAAAUAUGAGAAGCCAGAAAAUGCCUAGCAAAAUGCAUCUGUAUGGUCUGAUUGAAACAGAUACUCCUAUAUAUCAUUAACCGGAACUGAAUA